rnacentral:rRNA from 1 species
UACGUAGGGACCGAGCGUUGUCCGGAUUCAUUGGGCGUAAAGAGCUCGUAGGCGGCUGUUCAAGUCGAACGUGAAAACUCGGAGCUCAACUCCGAGCCUGCGUUCGAUACUGGACGGCUAGAGUCUGGUAGGGGGAUCUGGAAUUCCUGGUGUAGCGGUGGAAUGCGCAGAUAUCAGGAGGAACACCGGUGGCGAAGGCGGGUCUCUGGGCCGAUACUGACGCUGGAGGAGCGAAAGCGUGGGGAGCGAACAGG